GACGAACGCUGGCGGCGUGCUUAACACAUGCAAGUCGAACGGAAAGACCCUGCGUUUGUGGGGUGCUCGAGUGGGGAAGGGGUGAGUGACACGUGAGGAAAAUGCACUUGAAUGUGGGAUAACUUCAGGAAACUGGGGCGAAUACAGGAGAGGAUCUACUGCAGCGUGGGGGGGGUUGGAGAGUGUCGGCGGUUGGGUAUGGACUCGCGGCUUAUCAGCUGGAUGGUGGGGUAGGUGCGGACCAGGGCUUUGACGGGUAGCCGGCCUGAGAGGGUGGCCGGGCUCCUUGGGCCUGCGGUAGGCACCAGAAUCCAACGGGCGGCAGCAGGCGGGAACAUUGCACAGUGGCGGGAAGCCUGAUGCAGCAACGCUGCGUGCGUGAUGCCGUCCUUCGGGUUGUAAACAGCUUUCGCCUGUGACGAAGCGUGAGUGACGGUAAUGGGUAAAGAAGCACCGGCUAACUACGUG
rnacentral:rRNA from 1 species